GGGGUCGUUAUGGAUUCGACAGGUAUAGGUUGAGUCUGGAUUGCGUUUCGUAGCGGGAAUCUACGUUAAAAGUCCCACCUAAAUUUUAACUGCAAAAAACAGUUCAAAUUCUCUCGCUUUGGCUGCCUAAUAAGCGCUUAACGAGGAUCCGCCUAGCCUCGCCUACGGGCUAGAUACGGGUCUUACCUUAUAGUAGGCUCACGCUUGCGGCUUCCACCUGGAGCUAAUAGAAGAGACUAAUCAGGUUAGCUGUUCAUGGUUUGCCCUGACAGGCGGCGGUUUGUGCAGUGAAUUUUAAGUAGUCUGCCUAUAAACGUAGAUAUCCGGGCGGCAAUAUGCUUGGACGCGGGUUCGACUCCCGCCGACUCCAUUG
rfam:Lactobacillus kimchicus JCM 15530 Scaffold4, whole genome shotgun sequence.